rnacentral:rRNA from 1 species
GACGAACGCUGGCGGCGUGCUUAACACAUGCAAGUCGAACGGAAAGGCCCUGCUUUUGUGGGGCGCUCGAGUGGCGAACGGGUGAGUAACACGUGAGUAACCUGCCCUUGACUUUGGGAUAACUUUAGGAAACUGGGGCUAAUACCGGAUAGGAGCUCCUGCUGCAUGGUGGGGGUAGGAAAGUUUCGGCGGUUGGGGAUGGACUCGCGGCUUAUCAGCUUGUUGGUGGGGUAGUUGCUUACCAAGGCUUUGACGGAUAGCCGGCCUGAGAGGGUGGCCGGCGUCAAUACGCCUGAGAUACGCACCAGUAUCCUACGGGACGCAGUAGUGGGAAGUCUUGCACAAUGGGCGGAAGUCUGAUGCGGCAGCGCCGCGUGCGGAAUGACGGCCUUCGGGUUGUAAACCGCUUUCGCCUUUGACGAAGCGUGCGUGACGGUAAUGGGUAAAGAAGCACCGGCUAACUACGUG